UACGAAGGGUGCAAACGUUGCUCGGAAUCAUUGGGCGUAAAGCGCACGUAGGCGGCAUUCUAAGUCGGAUGUGAAAUCCCUCGGCUCAACCGAGGACGUGCAUCCGAAACUGGAACGCUCGAGUAUGGAAGAGGGUCGCGGAAUUCUCGGUGUAGAGGUGAAAUUCGUAGAUAUUCGCAAGAACACCAGUGGCGAAGGCGGCUCACUGGCCCGGUACUGACGCUGAGGUGCGAAAGCGUGGGGAGCAAACAGG
rnacentral:rRNA from 1 species